CCCUACGGGGCGCAGCAGUGGGGAAUAUUGCACAAUGGGGGAAACCCUGAUGCAGCGACGCCGCGUGAGUGAAGAAGUAUUUCGGUAUGUAAAGCUCUAACAGCAGGGAAGAAAAUGACGGUACCUGACUAAGAAGCCCCGGCUAACUACGUGCCAGCAGCCGCGGUAAUACGUAGGGGGCAAGCGUUAUCCGGAUUUACUGGGUGUAAAGGGAGCGUAGACGGCAGCGCAAGUCUGAAGUGAAAGAUUGGGGCUCAACCCCAGGCCUGCAUUGGAAACUGUAAAGCUGGAGUACAGGAGAGGUA
rnacentral:rRNA from 1 species